UACGGGGGGGGGGCAAGCGUUGUUCGGAAUUACUGGGCGUAAAGGGCUCGUAGGCGGCCAACUAAGUCGGAUGUGAAAUCCCUAGGCUUAACCUGGGGAACUGCAUCCGAUACUGGAUGGCUUGAAUCCGGGAGAGGGAUGCAGAGUUCCAGGUGUAGCGGUGAAAUGCGUAGAUAUCUGGAGGAAUACCGGUGGCGAAGGCGGCAUCCUGGACCGGCAUUGACGCUGAUGAGCGAAAGCCAGGGGAGCAAACGGGG
rnacentral:rRNA from 1 species